CGUUGUUGUUGUCAGCGUAGAAGAGUACAGAGAUGGGACUGAGCUUGGUGGGUGCGCAGCACGCUUUGGGAACCUCAUCUGGCUUCAGAAGGUGAACCUGCCAUUGAAAACGGGUUCGUGAUUGUCGACAGGUGGACAGCGACUUCGAAGAGGAAACAACUGUCCUGGAUGAGGUCCAGUUGGAUGUGCCAUUGGAUGAUGUGCCAGAUGUUCCACAGCUGCCAGUCCUCCUUGAUGUCCAGAAUGCUGC